UGUUGAGAGAGGGGUGGUUGUUGACGCGGUUUCAAAUUAGGCGCUGUUCUCUUUUCACAUUUAUUAGAGAUUUUGGAUAAGAUUUUUUUUUACUUAAACACACUAUUGAAAAAAGUUGUUAUAUAAGCUUAACCAGACGUGAAGUAGUAUCAGAAUAAAAGUCACUUCGAGUUUCACACCCUAUCUGUACUGUACACAAAUAUUUGCCGCCAUUUUUCUGCAGGCAGAAGCUCUACUAACAGGUCUUGCGCUCUUACAUUAUCAUCAGACAACCUUUUGAUACAGUUUAACUUUUUUAGUCAGUCCUUGAAAUGACUACUAAAAAGAAACGCUCUGCGCGCUCCGACAACGACAGCUGGGUUGUCAUUGCUCCAGAUUCAGCACUGGACACAGGCAGGUCUGAAGAGGGUGAUCCGUCCUUCAUCAAACUAAAGAAUCCUGCUACAGGCAGUUCUUCACUGUAUCUGUUUGGCUGUGGUGAUGUCUGUGUUUAUGAAGUAAAAGCCUUUU